GUUAAAUUUGGAUGCUAAAUAUAAAUGUAUUGUAUUUUAUUACAAUACAUGUAAUAACAUACUUAUUGUAUUUUAUUAAAUUUAAUAAAUUCUCAGUUCAUUUUCAUUUCUAUACUACAUGUGUUUUCGAUAAACUGCCAACCCUAAUUAGUUGCCAAAAUUGUCCUCAAAUGGAUAGUGGCAUCUUAUGGGAAUUUGACUGUAAUUAUUACAAUAUUGAUAAAUUUUUUAUCAGAAGUCAAAUAUUAUUAAUAAUGCUAUCAAUAAUAGAGUUAAAUAUCAAUAUAGUUAUAUUAUAAUCUUACAAGAAAUGGUUGUAUUCAUAUUUUAAAUUAGGAAAUGUUUUAAUACUUUUUCAUUAUAGGGUUAUUUUUUGCAAAAUUGUUUUUGUGCAACUUAUGAUUGGAUUAGUAUAUACAAAAGUUAAUUUAUCUAUGCUAUAAUGAUGCUACUGUAUACAAUUUUCUGUUUUAAUAAUGUAUUCAAUGUUGCUACAAAUAUUUGAUUUGGUAUUUGUUAUAAAAUAUUAAAAUAUCAACAAAAUAUCAGACUUCAAUUAUGAUAAAUAUAUAUGAAAUAUAUCAGUCAAAUAAUGCUUCUAUCAGUUUUUAUUUGAUUGAUAUAUACUAACAAAAAUUAUGAAUAUCAUUAAUACAAUAUAAAAAUUAUAUAUAAU
rnacentral:lncRNA from 1 species